rnacentral:sRNA from 1 species
GCUGGGCACAGUGGUGCACGCCUGUAAUCCCAGAAGCUCGGGAGGCUGAAACAGGAGAAUCGUGAGUUCAAAGCCAGCCUCAGCAAAAGCGAAGAGCUAAGUAACUCAGUGAGACCCUGUCUCUA